UACAGAGGUCUCGAGCGUUGUUCGGAUUCAUUGGGCGUAAAGCGCACGUAGGCGGCUUAGCAAGUCGGAUGUGAAAUCCCUCGGCUCAACCAAGGAAGUGCAUCCGAAACUGCUGAGCUUGAGUACUUAAGAGGAUCGCGGAAUUCCCGGUGUAGAGGUGAAAUUCGUAGAUAUCGGGAGGAACACCAGUGGCGAAGGCGGCGAUCUGGGAAGAUACUGACGCUGAGGUGCGAAAGCGUGGGGAGCGAACAGG
rnacentral:rRNA from 1 species